AUCGAACGCUGGCGGAAUGCUUUACACAUGCAAGUCGAACGGCAGCACGGACUUCGGUCUGGUGGCGAGUGGCGAACGGGUGAGUAAUACAUCGGAACGUGCCCAGUCGUGGGGGAUAACGUAGCGAAAGCUACGCUAAUACCGCAUACGAUCUAAGGAUGAAAGCGGGGGAUCGCAAGACCUCGCGCGAUUGGAGCGGCCGAUGGCAGAUUAGGUAGUUGGUGGGGUAAAGGCCUACCAAGCCGACGAUCUGUAGCUGGUCUGAGAGGACGACCAGCCACACUGGGACUGAGACACGGUCCAGACUCCUACGGGAGGCAGCAGUGGGGAAUUUUGGACAAUGGGCGCAAGCCUGAUCCAGCCAUUCCGCGUGCAGGAUGAAGGCAAUCGGGUUGUACACUGCUUUUGUACAGAAAGAAAAGGCUCUGGUUAAUACCUGGGGCUCAUGACGGUACUGUAAGAAUAAGCACCGGCUAACUACGUGCCAGCCGCCGCAGUAAUAC
rnacentral:rRNA from 1 species